rnacentral:rRNA from 1 species
AUUAGAGUUUGAUCAUGGCUCAGGAUAAGUCGUAACAAGGUAACCGUAAGUCGUAACAAGGUAACCGUAAAGUUUGAUCCUGGCUCAGAUAAGUCGUAACAAGGUAACCGUAGAGUCGCAAAAGGUAGCCGUAAAGUCGUAACAAGGUAGCCGUAGAGUUUGAUCCUGGCUCAGAAGUCGUAACAAGGUAGCCGUAAGUCGUAACAAGGUAGCCGUAAGUCGUAACAAGGUAACCGUAAGUCGUAACGAGGUGACCGUAGAGUUUGAUCAUGGCUCAGGAAAGUCGUAACAAGGUAACCGUAAGUCGUAACAAGGUAACCGUAA